UGCCAGCAGCCGCGGUAAUACGAAGGGUGUUAGCGUUGUUCGGAAUUACUGGGCGUAAAGAGCAUGUAGGCGGAUGAAUUAGUCAGAGGUGAAAGCCCCGAGCUCAACUUGGGAACUGCAUUUGAAACUGGAAGUCUGGAGUUCAGGAGAGGUUAGCGGAAUACCGAGUGUAGAGGUGAAAUUCGUAGAUAUUCGGUGGAACACCAGUGGCGAAGGCGGCUAACUGGACUGAUACUGACGCUGAGGUGCGAAAGUGUGGGGAGCAAACCGGAUUAGAUA
rnacentral:rRNA from 1 species